rnacentral:snRNA from 2 species
UUGUUCUCAUUUUGGUAGCAAAUCUACUAAAACUGAAGCAAUACAGAGAAGAUUAACAUGGCCCUUGUUCAAAGAUGACAUGCAAAUUCUGGAAGCACUCAAUAUUUAU